UACAGAGGGUGCAAGCGUUGUUCGGAAUUAUUGGGCGUAAAGGGCGCGUAGGCGGUGCCACAAGUCACCUGUGAAAUCUCCGGGCUUAACUCGGAAAGGUCAACUGAUACUGUGCGACUAGAGUGCAGAAGGGGCAACUGGAAUUCUCGGUGUAGCGGUGAAAUGCGUAGAUAUCGAGAGGAACACCUGCGGCGAAGGCGGGUUGCUGGGCUGACACUGACGCUGAUGCGCGAAAGCCAGGGGAGCGAACGGG
rnacentral:rRNA from 1 species